GGUUAUCUAGUUAAACGGUAUAACGAAUCAUUCAUGCUGAUUUAUUGAGGGUUCGAUUCCCUACUUAACCA
rnacentral:tRNA from 1 species